rnacentral:misc_RNA from 1 species
CCGAGUUCAUGCCCUUAGGGGUAGACCUCCCACCCUAUGUUAUAUUACCCUGUUGCUUUGGCGGGCCGUCAGGCUUCGGCCAGGCUAUCGGCUCCGGCUGGUAAGCGCCCGCCAGAGAACCCCAAACUCUGAAUGUUAGUGUCGUCUGAGUACUAUCUAAUAGUUA